AAGGCUUGGGGGCUUCUUGAUCCCGGAAACGGUGUUUGGUCGGAAUUCUUGCUUUAAUGCAAAGUCUAUAAUUACUCUCCGUUAUUGAUAUCUCCGCUCUCCCAUAUAUCAAUAGCCUAGAGAAAUGCUAUACUUGAUGUUCAUUGCAUAAUCCCGACCACCAUCCGUCCUUUGAACGCCAAAUGCGCCCUGUUCCUUUUGGCGUUCCUUGCSUCUUUCUGGGUGUCACUUUGCUGCUUCCCCCCACCCCUCCCCAGGAUCAAGCCSAUACRCAGGUCUCCCCCGGGUAC
rnacentral:misc_RNA from 1 species